rnacentral:rRNA from 1 species
AGUAACGCGUAGGAAUGUACCCCAAAGUGAGGGAUAAUCCACCGAAAGGUGGACUAAUACCGCAUAUUAUCUUCGGAUCAAAGCAGCAAUGCGCUUUGGGAACAGCCUGCGUCUGAUUAGCUAGUUGGUGAGGUAAUGGCUCACCAAGGCGACGAUCGGUAGCUGGUCUGAGAGGAUGAUCAGCCAGACUGGGACUGAGACACGGCCCAG